ACCGAUGAACAGAAACUGCUUGACUACAGGGUUGGAGGGGAUAAGACUGAGGAGAGACUCUAAAUGAACAUUCUAAUGCAAACUCCAACAACAGGGAAAUGGGUUUGAGUCAAGAACACAUGUGAUAACCAGUGGAAUCAUGCGUCCGCUAUGGGAGAGGGAAAGGCGGGGGGGGGGGGGGGGGAGGAAAAGAAAAUGAUCUUUGUUUCCAGUGAAUAAUGUAUGAAAACGACCAAAUAAAAUAAUGUUAAAAAAAUAAAUUAAUUAAAGUAAUGGCAAUGAAAAUGAAAAAGAAAACAUGGGCUUGAAUCCUGCCUACACACUUCCUAGGUAUGUUGUUAUUGUUCAUUUGUUCAGUCUUGUCUGACCCUUUGUGACCCCAUUGAUUCUAGCAUGCCAGGCCCUUCUAUCCUUUACUAUCUUUUAAAGUCUGUCCAAACUCAUAUUCAUGACUUCCAUGACACUAUCCAUUUCAUCUUAUCAUCAUAUCUUCCUCUGUCUCCCACUCCUAAGGGCCAUGGUACCUAAAAGAACAUGGCAGUGAGAAUAAAUGCUUGCCUCAGUGAAUUUGAGACUGGACUUCAACUUCAUAUUACUUUCCCUAAAGCAGACUAGUGAAAAGAGAGUCUCAGAAAUGGAUUUUCCAACCCUACUGGUAACCUUGUGAAUUGGAGAGGCACUACUUUAGGCACUGAGGACACAAGAAGUAUGGUGACUCCUGUCUGAAAGCUUAUUUUGAUGGUAGAUAUCUAUGAGGAUUGUUUAUAUAGAUGGAAAAAAUUCACCAACUGGACGACUACGAGAAGGGAUACUCUCUCCCAGGAUACCCCUGCUUAUGGAUAUGGAUGUCACCAGCCUUGUCUCCCACCAGAGACAAGCUCUUUAGUUACUGCCCUCAGCUCUGUCCCUGGAAAGGACUUUUUAAAAAAAGAAACUGUGAAAGGAAGCAAUGAAGAAAGCAGUGGAGGCACAAAAUGUCCCACUACUACUCCUGCCAAAGAAGCAAUUGCACUUUUUUAGCUCUGGAAGAGAAGCCUUAGAUGCAUGUUUGCCCUACUUCCACUUUGGGAAAUAUAUAAUAAAAAUUUAUAUUAAUUAUAAUUCUCUCA
rnacentral:lncRNA from 1 species